AACGCGAAGAACCUUACCUGGAUUUGACAUCUCCUGACAACCCUAGAGAUAGGGCUUCUGUAGCAAUACAGCAGGAAGACAGGUGCUGCAUGGCUGUCGUCAGCUCGUGUGGUGACAUGUUGGGUUAAGUCCCGCAACGAGCGCAACCCUUGUCCUUAGUUGCCAGCAUUCAGUUGGGCUCUCUAAGGAGACUGCCGUGGUUAACACGGAGGAAGGUGGGGAUGACGUCAAGUCCUCAUGGCCUUUAUAUCCAGGGCGACACACGUGAUACAAUGGACGGUACAGAGGGAAGCCAAGAGGCGACUCGGAGCUAAUCUCAAAAAGCCGUUCUCAGUUCGGAUUGGAGUCUGCAACUCGACUCCAUGAAGUUGGAAUCGCUAGUAAUCGCGGAUCAGCACGCCGCGGUGAAUACGUUCCCGGGCCUUGUACACACCGAGUAUA
rnacentral:rRNA from 1 species